rnacentral:lncRNA from 1 species
CACAGGCUUCUGAGAGGAAGCAUCCCAGGGGAGGCAUCCGCAGGUGAGCUGAGGAGCUCCGGGGCCUCAGCCCCACUUCUCUGCAUCUUCCCCUCCUCAGUAGUCGGGUAGUAAGUAGGCAGGGCAGACAGUACCCACGUCUGAGUUCUUACUACAGGCAGGCUCCACUGACAGGCCUUCCUGUGUUCUCUUUAAAGCCUUUGAAGAGGUCUUUAAAAUUUGUGUGUGUUACACAUUUGGGUGCUCCAAGAGGCCAGAAGUCAAAUUCUCCUAGAAUUGGAGUUACAGCCAAUCUGGGCCCUAGGAACAGAUUCUGUGGAAGAUCAGUGAAUGCUAUUAACAGCUAAGUGUCUCUCAAGCCUACCCCCCCAACCCCCAAUUAAAAAAAUUUUUUUUGUUGCUUUUUGUUUUUCAAGACAGGGGUGGAUUUCUGAGUUCGAGGCCAGCCUGGUCUACAAAGUGAGUUCCAGGACAGCCAGGGCUACACAGAGAAACCCUGUCUCGAAAAACAAA